AACCCAUGUUGAGGACAUUUCCGCAGGAGCUCCUUGAACAUCUCCCACAUCUCAAAUAGAGACUCUAAUUCCGUUUGCACAAAGAAGGGUAUUUUAUUCCUAAGAUU